CCGCGGUGAAUACGUUCCCGGGCCUUGUACACACCGCCCGUCAAGCCAUGGGAAUCAGGCGCACCCAAAGACGUGUAUACGUUUAAGGUGAAACUGGUGACUGGGGCU
rnacentral:rRNA from 1 species